AAUAGAUACCCGGGUAGUCCACGCCGUAAACGAUGAGUGCUAAGUGUUGGGGGGUUUCCGCCCCUCAGUGCUGCAGCUAACGCAUUAAGCACUCCGCCUGGGGAGUACGGUCGCAAGACUGAAACUCAAAGGAAUUGACGGGGGCCCGCACAAGCGGUGGAGCAUGUGGUUUAAUUCGAAGCAACGCGAAGAACCUUACCAGGUCUUGACAUCCCGGUGACCACUAUGGAGACAUAGUUUCCCCUUCGGGGGCAACGGUGACAGGUGGUGCAUGGUUGUCGUCAGCUCGUGUCGUGAGAUGUUGGGUUAAGCCCCGCAACGAGCGCAACCCUUAUUCUUAGUUGCCAUCAUUCAGUUGGGCACUCUAAGGAGACUGCCGGUGAUAAACCGGAGGAAGGUGGGGAUGACGUCAAAUCAUCAUGCCCCUUAUGACCUGGGCUACACACGUGCUACAAUGGACGGUACAAACGGUUGCCAACCCGCGAGGGGGAGCUAAUCCGAUAAAACCGUUCUCAGUUCGGAUUGUAGGCUGCAACUCGCCUACA
rnacentral:rRNA from 1 species